GUGUUUGUUCUUCAUCCUAAUUCAUGAAGAAUCAUAAAUGCCAUCAUUUUUAUGCAAGCUUCCACUUGAAAGCAAAAGAAAACCCAUAGCAAAUGACCACAUUCAUCCUAAGGAUAUCUGGAAUAUCAAAUUUACUAUAUUAGCACUUCAAAUCUAUGUAUCAUAUUAACAAGCUGUACCUAGAGAGCAUUGACCUCUGCACCAGUGUACAAACCUGCCUGGACCUGAGAGAAGUGCAGCAAAAGGGAGGAAACCCGAGCAUGCAGGGCCACAGCUGGAUUCUGCAGCACCGUCCCGUGACCUGUCACUGAAGCUGAAGUAACAUCUCGGUCCUCAGCUUCUACAGGCAGGAGAAUUGAAACAGGUGACAAGCUGAAAAUAUUCCUAAGAAAAGCCUCACCAUGGAUAUUUGAGGAUCCUGAACCUUUCAAAUCAGUGUAAAUGGAAAAUCCUGAGCAUCUGUCACAGCUACCCUCAAUUAAGUGAAG